GUUGGUGGGAUAAAAGCUUACCAAGCCGACGAUCUGUAGCUGGUCUGAGAGGAUGAUCAGCCACACUGGGACUGAGACACGGCCCAGACUCCUACGGGAGGCAGCAGUGGGGAAUUUUGGACAAUGGGGGCAACCCUGAUCCAGCCAUGCCGCGUGCAGGAUGAAGGCCUUCGGGUUGUAAACUGCUUUUGUACGGAACGAAAAGACUCUGGUUAAUACCUGGGGUCCAUGACGGUACCGUACGAAUAAGGAUCGGCUAACUCCGUGCCAGCAGCCGCGGUAAUACGGAGGAUCCGAGCGUUAUCCGGAAUCAUUGGGUUUAAAGGGUCCGCAGGCGGGCGUCUAAGUCAGUGGUGAAAUCCCGCGGCUCAACCGUGGAAUUGCCAUUGAUACUGGUCGCCUUGAAUCGUUGUGAAGUGGCUAGAAUAUGUAGUGUAGCGGUGAAAUGCUUAGAUAUUACAUAGAAUACCGAUUGCGAAGGCAGGUCACUAACGACGCAUUGACGCUGAUGGACGAAAGCGUGGGGAGCGAACAGGAUUAGAUACCCUGGUAGUCCACGCCGUAAACGAUGGAUACUAGCUGUCCGGUGCGCGUUGGCGCGCUGGGUGGCCAAGCGAAAGUGAUAAGUAUCCCACCUGGGGAGUACGUUCGCAAGAAUGAAACUCAAAGGAAUUGACGGGGGCCCGCACAAGCGGUGGAGCAUGUGGUUUAAUUCGAUGAUACGCGAGGAACCUUACCAGGGCUUAAAUGCAGUCCGACAGGCCGGGAAACCGGUCCUUCUUCGGACGGAUUGCAAGGUGCUGCAUGGUUGUCGUCAGCUCGUGCCGUGAGGUGUCAGGUUAAGUCCUAUAACGAGCGCAACCCCUGUCGUUAGUUGCCAGCAUGUAAAGAUGGGAACUCUAGCGAGACUGCCGGUGCAAACCGCGAGGAAGGUGGGGAUGACGUCAAAUCAUCACGGCCCUUACGUCCUGGGCCACACACGUGCUACAAUGGCCGGUACAAUGGGCAGCCACGCCGCAAGGCGGAGCGAAUCCACAAAACCGGUCUCAGUUCGGAUCGGGGUCUGCAACUUGACCCCGUGAAGCUGGAAUCGCUAGUAAUCGGAUAUCAGCCAUGAUCCGGUGAAUACGUUCCCGGGCCU
rnacentral:rRNA from 1 species